AAAGGCACCGGCGCCGCGCUGCAUCCUGGGAGAUGUAGUCCGGCGGCUGUGAGGGGCCGCGGGGGCAGGGAUCGGGAUGGCACGGCACUGUGUCUGUGCCCAGAGACCUGGGAGCGGGGCUCGCUCCCAAAACUACAGCAGUUCAGGUUGCCGCGGGGCCGCGUCUGUGUGCGGCAGGUUGGCACACCUGCGUGGCGCAGCCGGUGUGGAUGCGCAGCCCGGUGAGCCCGACCGUGAGCCCGUACCGCCGGCACGGUGCCACCACCCCUGUGGCAUCCGCUGCCUGCAGCUGUGCAGCGUGCAGCGAGCAGAUGUCCAUCAAAUUUAACCCAUGCAAAAAUACCUAUAUGGACACACAGAGAAACUGAGGCAACCAUGGUGAGGGAUGAAUUUGCCCCAUGCUCUAACACAUCAGCAGUGUGCAGGUAAGAACACUGAAGGAAGGGAAGGGAGCUGCUCCAUCUGUAUGGGUAACACCAUUGUAGGGCAUACGUGGGCAGUUUUGGGGGCUGUCAAUGCUAUUUUUUCCUCUCAGCAAAUUACCCAGUAAAUCUGAAGAAAUAAGCUUAAGAAAUUCAAUAUGGACUGUGGACAAAAGCCUUUGAGCAUCCUUGCAGCCAUUUGGAUAAUUUAUGUGGAAGGAUUCUGGAAAAAAAAACUGCUAUGGAUAGCUGCUCUUUGUAAGAGGUCACCACAAAAAGAGCAGUGAAGAGUAUCAAAGGCUCAAAUAAUGAUGUCACCUUCCUCCCUGGAUCAGAGCUGAAGCUCAGGGAACUUUAGACCAUGAGGGUCUUUGAAGCUUUAUUUGAGGAACCAUAAGAAGAAAACCAUACUUUUCCCAGAGCUCGUUGUAACUUCACCAACUGCAAUACAGAGAAAGAUUGCCCAGUUGCGUCACUGCAAUCACCUCACACACUUUACCAGCACUACUAAAAACUCUCAGUGGCCCUGACCAGCCUCACCUGGGGCUUCCCCCCACAUCUGUGGACCUGGGAUGGUUAUCAGUCCCUGCUGACCCACGAGAAGUGUUUAUUUCUGGUUCAGUUGCAGCCUAUGGAGUCUUUGGGUCUGGGUUUCACUCACAGGUUGGCUCCUUAGCUCUGUCCCCAUGUACUCUGAGUAGGUAUUUUGUUCUGGGUGAGUUGGCUCUAGAAAUAAUCAUUCAGGUUAUACCAUUUUUUGGCAAAGCUAAAAUGAAACUAAUCCAUUGGCUUUGAGAAAUGUUUGUGAAAGACUAUCGAAAAUACAGUAUAUCAACAGCUGAUGUUGAAGACUGAAAGGAAAAGUAGGAUUUAUGUUGCCAGUAAAGGAGCUCAUACAGUACAAAGGCUCAUGCAUGACUUCUUUGCAGGUGUUCUUUCCUAUGCUGUCUAGUUUCAUUUUUCUGUGAAACUCAUAUUUAGUUCUUAGGAAACGUGGUCCUUUGGGGGGUUUGGCCUAAUUGAAAUCUUAAAGGGCAAAACUGGCCAGGAGGGAUGAGGGGAGCUAAUAGGGUGCCCUCCAGGUACACAAGAAAGGAAUAAAGGGAAUGAUGGAAUUGGUAAAACAUGCAGAAAUAUUGGCGACCUUUACAUGAAUCAAUAUUACCGUAAAACAGAGAUGCACAGAAUCUGCUCCAGCUUCUUUGUCCUGCAGAGAUAUUUCUAAGCAAAUGAUCUCCCGUGUGUGCCUGCAGCGUCACCCUGAAGCACUCAUUUGCAGUGUGAAGUCUGAACGCUUCUGCAGCCGCUCAGCCCAGAGUCUGACCUCGAGCAUCCCAGGCAGCGAGGCUUGGAUGUUCUGCAGCGUUACAAACCUGCACCUCCCGCUGAUGAAAAAGAGAACUGCAGGCACUCGGAAUCGCUCCUCGAGCCUUCCAUUUUCUCUCCUGCCACAAACUGAGUUGCAAGGAUGUUCUCAGCAAACGUACCUUUUGAUUCUGUGAUACCUGUGACUUACUCAGCAGCAUGCAGCAGACAGAGCAAGAAAAACAAAAGGUAUUUCAGUAACUGGAAUAAAUAGGAAAAAUCUUUUUUUUUUUUUUUAACUUAGUAGAAAAACUGAAGAUGUGAGCAAAGAAAAACAAGAGGGAUGAAAGGUUUCCUCCCCCCUCCCUCUGGUGCUAUAAAUAUUUCUGAAUGUACUUUAACAUGAAUCCCUAAAAAUGCAUGUGGCCAAGCAUAUGUGUGUUUCUAUGUAUGGCUAUCAACAUAACCACAGUUGUGUAUGCUGAUUUUGUCACCUCAUGCAAAUAGGACUCCCAGUUUAGUUAGCAUAAUUAGAAAUAGACAUUUGAGAGCUGGAUUCUGUCCUUCAUUCCUUGCCCUUGCAAAAAUAACAUAUCUAGUCCUCAGAGGAAAAAAAGAGGCAAAAAUGUGGAAUGCAAUUAGCUUAUGAAUCUCUAAGUUACUUGCAAACUGUUUCUGCUGACUCCAGAUAGUGUGAAUGUUUAGAAUAUUUCACUGUGGGUCUUGAAGUGGAUAAUUCUGGUCUUUUGAGUUCCUAAAAAUGGUUAUAAACAGAGUAAGAAUUUAAAUUGAAUGUUUAAAAGCAGAGGUUAAAAGUUCCAAAAAGAAAGUGGCCUAGUAUUGUCAUUGUCCUUACUAAUACUACAUGAUACAGCUGAUCAACAGUUAAAAAUAUUAACUAAAAUUAGCCUCUUAAAUUUCCAUAACUAUCUAAAGCUGCCUAUAGAGAUAGAAAAUGCUUAUGUAUUUAUUUUAUAGGUACUUAAGUGCUACUACAGUAGCAAUGGUACCAUAGAAACAUCAUCCAUCUUUUGUGGUAUCAGUUGCUCAGAGAAAAAAAGUUGAUUUCUAAUGCUCCUAUUAACUGCAAAAGCUAUUUGAAAGAAAAGCAGCCUUUAAUUUUUGAGUUUUCAAAUAGAAUGCUUUUCUUUGUAGAAUAACAGUAAAAUGCUUCAUCAUCUUCUGUGCUUAAGCUGAAUUGGUGUGCAAUCCCCCCAAAAGAGGUAAAAGAAGGUAAAUCUGGUGUAUAAGACACUAGGACAGUAUUAUUGUUAAUAUGACUCUCCAGAAGCCAGAGUAUACAUAAGGAAAUAAAGAAGCUGAAUGUUAUACUCCAUUAAGAAUGGAAUCUGCACAAGGAUGUGAGUUUAAAUUAAUAUUUUAAGAGCAACAAAGCUGAGUUCUCUGUGCUUUCUGCAUCUAGUGAGAUGUCAUAAAAUAGCUCCUGGUAUGUAUUUUACCUUGUGAGACUGAAAAUCACUAACAGGAGCUGAUUGACCAUGUGGUAAAAUGGAUAUAAAAACUAUCUUUACCUCUUUGUGGGCCUGUCCUGCCCAUCAAGAAAUACCAGGAACAGGUUUCUAGAACUAUAUUACAAAGAAUGAGGAAAAACAUCCUUUAAUUCACAGAUCAUUUUGGUUUGAAAUGUUGUGUGAAUCCAGUCAUCCUCCAGAU